CCAUCUCCAGCUCCCAAAAUGGUGAGUUUUUACAACUAAGCUUGUCUUAAAUCUUUCUAGAGAUCAAUUGGAAACAGGGUAGAUACUCCCUUUUGUCUGCAACCUAUGCUAGAAACAGGAACACGCUUCUGAAGGUCACGUCCUCUGUACAGUGACAUAUUUCAGCAUAGUAGAAGAAAAAUGGAGAGUCUAUUUUUCAGAACUAUGUAUAAUACACAAAAUACAAGCAAGUCUUCCUUUUAAACAAAUGAAAUAAUUGUGUGUAUGAAAUAACGGGAUUGUGAUGUGUGAUUGCCCAGAAGAAAUCCUGAAUCUGCACCUUUGAUAACCUGAAUUUGUACCUGCGACAUACAUUAAAGUUAUGAUUUUUUUCAUGUGUAGUAUAAACUGCUCUGCUGUGUAAUAUUUUCAGAUACACUGUUUCAUCUCGUUAGAACUAAAAACACCCUUGUUGACAUCCCUGUGCAGUUAGCAUUUUGGCAUUACAUGAUGAUGUAAUGGCAAAGUCUUUACAAUCUCCAGCGUUAGGUCCCUGAUUUAAAUUAGUCAUUGUCAAAUAAAGCAAAAUGCUGACCCACCAGAAUGUCCUAAACCAGAAUUACUUGUCUAGAUUGCUGAAAUCACUGGACUUCAAGUGGCGAUUGCAUGAUCUGUAUUUCCCUUAAACUGUGAAAUUAGAUUCCUUUUAUGGACCCAUCAUGGUAGUAUUGAGCCAUUAGAUACAUCAUACUACACUUGUCAGCCAGCCUUCCCUGUUCAUCGGGACUGUAAAGCAUAUUAAGCAGACAAUAAUAGUACCCUUCAGGACAAUUAGGUUGUCACGUUUUGCAGUCUAAUACAGUUCUUUGCUUCUAUAUCCGACAGGCAGUAGAGAGCUUCUUCAGAACCCAGGUCCUGUAUGUAACACCUGCAGAGAGAAUGGUGCCAGAGACAUUUCUUCCUCCUCUGUUUUAGAGUUUCCCUCCUUGAUUCUCCCAGUGUGGUACCUAUGAAAGUCAGUACAGAUGCCUGGUCUUCAGCCAUCCACACUCCAUCCUGCAGUGCCAGUUCCUGGAAAAGGCAGAAAUGUGCUGGCAGGCGGCAGAGUCACAACACACAGUGAAAAGAGAGUUGUUCAAACACUGUCUAAUGGACUUAAUCCACACUUCCUGCCCUUUCAGGAUAACAACUUAUUUUCAAAAGCAGUGCAAACUAAUACACAACUCCUAGGAAGAGUUAGAAAAAGUUAAAACAUCCAUCAGACUGGAACUGGUGUCAAAUAAAAGUCUCUCAAGAGGCUAGAAAGGUAAAAGACACAUUUCUUUUGUGAGUGUUUCAAUCUACCCAGUGACCUGCAGCCUGGCCAUGGCCAGGAAUGAAAAUGCAGUCUGCCCAGAGCAGUCCCUACUCUCCUUGCCUCAGUGGACCAGCUUCCUCACUACUUGUGUCAGGGCCUGGGUCGUUCUGGAGCUGUUUUUGUGGCAUGCAAAGAAAACAACAAUUUGGGCCUGUAGGAUGUUAAAACUCAUAUCUGGUUGUGUAUCUUCUUUAAGCCCAGUAAGCGUUUUAAUAGGCAAUUUCAGGUGUAGCAUCCUUACGUUCACCUUUUCCUGUGGCUGUUCCCUUUUCUUGGCUGUAUUUGUAAAGAACAAGGAAUAAUCCCUAACCCUCCUGAAAUUUGCUACUUCUCUUGCUUCUCAGAAAAGUCCCUCCAAGGGUGGGGGAUGGAUAUUACUUUGUCACUGGGUCUAGGCCACCUCCUGCUGCGUCAGAAAUGCCACGGCCAUGGAGCAAAGUCAUGACGUGUGUUGAUCAACUUCGUACCUGCAAGUUACAUGCCAGGUGAGUGAUGUUCAUCUGGACCACUCUAACUUUUUUUCCUUUUCUGUCCUCUCAGGUGGCAUUAAGCCAGCAGAAGGGCAUUGAUGUGGCAUAACUCCUUGUGGUAUGUUUGGCUCCCUUGACAGAAGUACAGCUGCGUGUCAAUGACUAGCUUGGAUCCCAUCUGCAGGGCUUGUGAACUGCAACAGCAUGUUCUUCUGUUAGCGAUCAUAGCUUUGUCAUUCGACUUUUUGGCAAAAUACUGCAUCUUCAGCCAGGAGAAGUUGGCGAAGUACAAAAGGGCUUUUGAAGCGCCCCAGGGGUGCCCUGUACAUCACUGUACAGCUUCUCUGGAUGUUGCAUAAAAGGGACCUUGGAUCUGGCCCUCUCUCUGUCUGUGCCAUACAAUCUCCCCUCUGAGCUGCUCAGGCAGGUUUUCAAAACCAUGAUUUUUUUGCAGGAGGUUCUGAGUUAUGCUGUCGUCUACCUGGGAGUGCUUAAGUUUCUUCCUCUGCAAGAUGAUGUGGCCAAGCCCAUUAGAUUUGGUGGAGACCCUGAAGAUUUUGUUGAAGGGGCAGAAGAGGACACUUUUUGAAGAUGGAGGAAGCUUUCUUAGGCUAUAGGAAGAGAAGGAGCCUUAGACAGAGAUGUCAGAGGAUGCACAAAAGACCUUUCUACUUGUCUACUAUGAGACACAGUUGAGAUGACAAAAAAAAGUAAAGGAAUAGGUAAAAGUAUAGUUUGUGAAUGACUUUGAAGUAAAAACAGUUGGUUUUGGUAAAAGAAGCUGAAAAACUUAUCAAUUUUCACUUAUACAAAUCUAUUUUCUCCAUCUGUGAGUCUUCUCCAGAUAAAGACUCUUAGGCUCUAUAGUGCCUAAAUAUAACUGACACAUUAUCUCAUUGUGAAACUUAAUGAACAUUUGAGUCUGGACAUAAAGACCGGUGAGGUCAGGGUAUGCGUUAGCCCUGUAUAACAUCAAGUUAAAGACUGUGAUGGCAACUUCCUCUUUUCUUUCAGCAUUUCUUAAUAGUCACAUGAUUUUUUUAUUGUCAGUCAUAUUUCUAAUUCAGCUUUGUUGUGUUACGUAUCCAGAAAUAACAAAUUGUUGAAGAAAAUGAUGUGGAGCCAAAAAAAAUAUAUAUAUAUGCUAAACUACUGUGCUUCUUUGCUUAGUGCAGGCAAAGAUUAAGAGUUCCCAAGGCUUUCCCUCAGUUUGAAAAUGGAAGCAGAGAUUAACCAUACCUUGUCAAAGCUGCGCUUCCAAGACACUGGAGUUCUG